rnacentral:rRNA from 1 species
GUAGUCUCGCACAGAUGCAUAUCAAUAAGCGGAGGAAAAGAAACUAACAAGGAUUCCCCUAGUAACGGCGAGUGAAGCGGGAAGAGCUCAAAUUUGAAAUCUUAAAGGGUUUCCCUUUACGAAUUGUAGUUUAAAGAAGUGUUUUCUGUUGAGGUUUUGGUAAAAGUUCUUUGGAAUAGGACAUCAUAGAGGGUGAGAAUCCCGUAUUUGACCUUUACUUUCAACUUUGUGAUACACUUUCAAAGAGUCGGAUUGUUUGGGAAUGCAGUCCAAAAUGGGUGGUAAAUUUCAUCUAAAGCUAAAUAUUGGCGAGAGACCGAUAGCGAACAAGUACCGUGAGGGAAAGAUGAAAAGAACUUUGAAAAGAGAGUUAAACAGUACGUGAAAUUGUCAAAAGGGAAGCGUUUGACACCAGUGUUGUUUUUCUGAAAAUCAAUUAAAGAACUGUUUAUGCUAAGCUGUUUAGACUUUAUCAGCUAUCUGUUUAGUUUUGAGCUUUUCUUUAAUGCACUUUUCAGUUAACAAGUCAACAUCAAUUUCUUUUGCUGUAAAAAAACUUGAGGAAGGUGGCUUGAGAUUCGUCUUAAGUGUUUAUAGCCUCUUGCCUAUGCAGUCGGAGAGAUUGAGGUCUGCAGCGUAGAUCCUUCGGGGCUAAAUGCAUUUGUGCUAAGUUAUAGCAUUUUAUAGACAACUUGUUGACUAUGAUUUGUCUUGUAGCUUACUCGCUUAUGUUAUUUUACCUACGCUUAGGAUGUUGAUCUGUAGUGCGUGCGC